CAGGACUAUAAUGUGGUGCUUGGCCGAGAUCUAGAUUGCAUCAUUCUUUUGAAGGUGGUAUGAUCGCUAUAGUUUUUAAGCCCAAGUACGUGACAAUCGGAAGAGGAGAGUGAGCGGCAUAGUUUGCACGAGCUUGGCGGCAAGGAGAGGCCGUGAAGAUGAAUGCACUGGAGAAAGGCAUGGCUGUUCAAGGAUUGGAUGCGAGCCGUGAAGAUGAAUGUAUUGGAGACAAGAGGACGCCCAUGGCCGAGAACAAAUUGCGUAGAAUAGAACUUUGACAAUGCGGCACCGACGGCACACAAGAUUCAACUAGAAAUCUACAACAAGCUCACGCAGAGCCUUUUCGGCAUCCAGAACAGCACGCUCGAACUUUUCUCCGAUCUUCUCCAGUUUUGUUGCUUUGCGCUUCCCGAUUUCCCCCAUAGCACGAAGCCCCGGUUGCGUGAUGGCGGCAGAGGCGAUGCGCAAUGUUCUGGCGAUCAAAGGAGAGCUCCAGCGAAUCGCCCGUGUGACUGAAGACGCCAUCGGGGACACGCUCACUGGCUUCCGCCUAGACGAAUUACGUUAGAGAGCCGCGCAGACAAGAGCCGAGACGUUAGCGAGCCGCUGAAGAGCCGAGACGCCCCAGCUGGCCAUUUUAUAGAGCAGGAUAUUGACUUUUGACUGAGGACUGCUUGGACUUUGACGUGAUCCCGUAAAGAUUUCAGUGACUUUGACUUUGAUACGGGCA